rnacentral:rRNA from 1 species
UACGUAGGUGGCAAGCGUUGUCCGGAUUUACUGGGCGUAAAGAGCGCGCAGGCGGUCGUCCAAGUCGCGUGUGAGAGCCCCCGGCUCAACUGGGGAGGGUCACGCGAUACUGGUCGACUCGAAGGCAGGAGAGGGUAGUGGAAUUCCCGGUGUAGUGGUGAAAUGCGUAGAUAUCGGGAGGAACACCAGUGGCGAAGGCGACUACCUGGCCUGUUCUUGACGCUGAGGCGCGAAAGCUAGGGGAGCAAACGGG